GAUGAACGCUGGCGGCGUGCCUAAUACAUGCAAGUCGAGCGAACGGACGAGAAGCUUGCUUCUCUGAUGUUAGCGGCGGACGGGUGAGUAACACGUGGAUAACCUACCUAUAAGACUGGGAUAACUUCGGGAAACCGGAGCUAAUACCGGAUAAUAUUUUGAACCGCAUGGUUCAAAAGUGAAAGACGGUCUUGCUGUCACUUAUAGAUGGAUCCGCGCUGCAUUAGCUAGUUGGUAAGGUAACGGCUUACCAAGGCAACGAUGCAUAGCCGACCUGAGAGGGUGAUCGGCCACACUGGAACUGAGACACGGUCCAGACUCCUACGGGAGGCAGCAGUAGGGAAUCUUCCGCAAUGGGCGAAAGCCUGACGGAGCAACGCCGCGUGAGUGAUGAAGGUCUUCGGAUCGUAAAACUCUGUUAUUAGGGAAGAACAUAUGUGUAAGUAACUGUGCACAUCUUGACGGUACCUAAUCAGAAAGCCACGGCUAACUACGUGCCAGCAGCCGCGGUAAUACGUAGGUGGCAAGCGUUAUCCGGAAUUAUUGGGCGUAAAGCGCGCGUAGGCGGUUUUUUAAGUCUGAUGUGAAAGCCCACGGCUCAACCGUGGAGGGUCAUUGGAAACUGGAAAACUUGAGUGCAGAAGAGGAAAGUGGAAUUCCAUGUGUAGCGGUGAAAUGCGCAGAGAUAUGGAGGAACACCAGUGGCGAAGGCGACUUUCUGGUCUGUAACUAACGCUGAUGUGCGAAAGCGUGGGGAUCAAACAGGAUUAGAUACCCUGGUAGUCCACGCCGUAAACGAUGAGUGCUAAGUGUUAGGGGGUUUCCGCCCCUUAGUGCUGCAGCUAACGCAUUAAGCACUCCGCCUGGGGAGUACGACCGCAAGGUUGAAACUCAAAGGAAUUGACGGGGACCCGCACAAGCGGUGGAGCAUGUGGUUUAAUUCGAAGCAACGCAAAGAACCUUACCAAAUCUUGACAUCCUUUGACAACUCUAGAGAUAGAGCCUUCCCCUUCGGGGGACAAAGUGACAGGUGGUGCAUGGUUGUCGUCAGCUCGUGUCGUGAGAUGUUGGGUUAAGUCCCGCAACGAGCGCAACCCUUAAGCUUAGUUGCCAUCAUUAAGUUGGGCACUCUAAGUUGACUGCCGGUGACAAACCGGAGGAAGGUGGGGAUGACGUCAAAUCAUCAUGCCCCUUAUGAUUUGGGCUACACACGUGCUACAAUGGACAAUACAAAGGGCAGCGAAACCGCGAGGUCAAGCAAAUCUCAUAAAGUUGUUCUCAGUCCGGAUUGUAGUCUGCAACUCGACUACAUGAAGCUGGAAUCGCUAGUAAUCGUAGAUCAGCAUGCUACGGUGAAUACGAUCCCGGGUCU
rnacentral:rRNA from 1 species